rnacentral:misc_RNA from 1 species
UUUCCGUAGGUGAACCUGCGGAAGGAUCAUUAUUGUAAAACCGAGGUGCGAGGGCUGUCGCUGACCUUUCGGUCGUGCACGCCCGAGCGCUCUCACACAAUCCAUCUCACCCCUUUGUGCACCACCGCGUGGGUCCCUCUCUGGUUUGUCCCGAGGGGGGCUUGCGUUUUCACACAAACUUGAAGCAAUGUAGAAUGUCUCAUUUUUGCGAUAACACGCAAUCAAUACAACUUUCAACAACGGAUCUCUUGGCUCUC